rnacentral:rRNA from 1 species
AGAGUUUGAUCCUGGCUCAGAACGAACGCUGGCGGCGCGUCUUAACCAUGCAAGUCGAGCGGCAGGCAGCAAUGCCGAGAGCGGCGGACUGGUGAGUAACACGUGGAUAACGUACCCCGAUGCCCGGGACAGCCUGUAGAAAUAGAGGGUAAUACCGGAUAGAUCACUGUUUACGGAAGGUAGACAGCGGGAAAGGAGCUUCGGCUCCGCGACGGGAUCGGUCUGCGGCCCAUCAGCUAGACGGCGGGGUAAUGGCCCGCCGUGGCGAGGACGGGUAUCCGGCCUGAGAGGGCGGACGGACACAUUGGGACUGAGAUACGGCCCAGACUCCUACGGGAGGCAGCAGGUAAGAAUAUUCCGCAAUGGGGGGAACCCUGACGGAGCGACGCCGCGUGAACGAAGAAGGCCGGAAGGUUGUAAAGUUCUUUUCUGUCCGAGGAAUAAGUGUUGGAGGAAAUGCCGACAUGGUGACGGUAGGGCAGGAAUAAGCACCGGCUAAUUACGUGCCAGCAGCCGCGGUAACACGUAAGGUGCGAGCGUUGUUCGGAAUUAUUGGGCGUAAAGGGCAUGCAGGCGGGUCGCCAAGCUUGGUAAGAAAUACCGGGGCUCAACUCCGGAGCUAUAUUGAGAACUGGCGAGCUAGAGUUGCCGAAGGGUAUCCGGAAUUCCGCGUGAAGGGGUGAAAUCUGUAGAUAUGCGGAAGAACACCGAUGGCGAAGGCAGGAUACCGGCGGACGACUGACGCUGAGGUGCGAAGGUGCGGGGAGCAAACAGGAUUAGAUACCCUGGUAGUCCGCACAGUCAACGAUGUACACUGGGCGUGUGCGCAAGAGCGUGCGUGCCGAAGCAAACGCGAUAAGUGUACCGCCUGGGGAGUAUGCCCGCAAGGGUGAAAC